CUGCCCCAUCCUUCUUCUGACAAGAGGCCCCUAAAGGAGAUGAAUGGCUUUUUCGAAAAUGGCUGGCUAACUCCUUCCCAAAUAUCUGCAAGUUUGUUUUGAACUCUCUCUUCAUGUUGGAAGCCUUCCCUCAGAAGUCUGGAAAGGAGCCCACUGGAAUGACUGAUAGGACCAGUGUGCAUGGCAGGAGCAUGGUCUGCCAACUGGGACACUGAUUGCCCCCACCAGUGAGUCAAGACGAGCAGAUUGUCUUCGAGGACUCCAGCACACCAGGACAAGUGCUAUGUCAGGAUAUGACUCUAGUCUUGGCUAUACACAGACUUUCAACCAAACUUCGUUUUUAGUCCCCUGCCUCCAAUUCUUGAGACUUUCUGGGAUUCCAGGAGAGGACUGGCCUGCUUCUCAUUGGGAUCUGCUUCUGAAAUGCUUGGUUCUGAUCUUUCUCCACCUCGCAAACUUCUUUUCUAUUCUUCCAUCCUCUUUUUGACUUUCAUAUAUUGUAGUUUGGGACUACAGAUAUUUGCCUUAUUUCACUAAAUAUGGAUUUUUCUGCUUCUACUUCUUGUUCUCUUGUACUUUGGGGGUGAUUUUGGAGAAAAAGAAGGGG